GAUGAACGCUGGCGGCAGGCCUAAUACAUGCAAGUCGAGCGAACAGACGAGGAGCUUGCUCCGUCGACGUUGGCGGCGGACGGGUGAGGAACACGUAGGUAACCUACCUAUAAGACUGGGAUAACGUCGGGAAACCGGAGCUAAUAUCGGAUAAGAUUUCGAACCGCAUGGUUCGAUAGUGAAAGAUGGCUUUGCUAUCACUUAUAGGUGUACCUGCGCCGUAUUAGCUAGUUGGUAAGGUAACGGCCUACCAAGGCAACGAUCCGUAGCUGACCUGAGAGGGUGAUCGGUCACACUGGAACUGAGACACGGUCCAGACUCCUACGGGAGGCAGCAGUAGGGAAUAUUGCGCAAUGGGCGAAAGCCUGACGGAGCAACGCCGCGUGAGUGAUGAAGGUCUUCGGAUCGUAAAACUCUGUUAUUAGGGAAGAACAACAGUGUAAGUAACUGUGCACGUCUUGACGGUACCUAAUCAGAAAGCAACGGCUAACUACGUG
rnacentral:rRNA from 1 species